rnacentral:rRNA from 1 species
UGGGGAAUAUUGGACAAUGGGCGAAAGCCUGAUCCAGCCAUGCCGCGUGAGUGACGAAGGCCUUAGGGUUGUAAAACUCUUUCGUCGGGGACGAUAAUGACGGUACCCGAAGAAGAAGCUCCGGCUAACUUCGUGCCAGCAGCCGCGGUAAUACGAAGGGGGCUAGCGUUGUUCGGAAUCACUGGGCGUAAAGCGCACGUAGGCGGAUAGUUAAGUCAGGGGUGAAAUCCUGGGGCUCAACCCCAGAACUGCCUUUGAUACUGGCUGUCUCGAGGUCGAGAGAGGUUGGUGGAAUUCCUAGUGUAGAGGUGAAAUUCGUAGAUAUUAGGAAGAACACCAGUGGCGAAGGCGGCCAACUGGCUCGAUACUGACGCUGAGGUGCGAAAGCGUGGGGAGCAAACAGGAUUAGAUACCCCCGUAGUCCCUGAGCGGGCUGGCAAGGCGCAU